UGAGGAACAUGACCUUCGGCGGGGGAGUAGCCGGCCCCAACGGCCGGGUAAUACCGCGUACGACCACAUGGGGACAUCCCUGAGUGGUGAAAGCAGCAAUGCGCCGAUGGAGUGCCUCGCGGCCUAUCGGCUAGUUGGUGAGGUAACGGCUCACCAAGGCGACGACGGGUAGCUGGUCUGAGAGGAUGGCCAGCCACAGUUGGGACUGAGACGACCGGCCCAGACUCCCGUAGGGACGG
rnacentral:rRNA from 1 species